rnacentral:rRNA from 1 species
UACAGAGGGUGCAAGCGUUAAUCGGAAUUACUGGGCGUAAAGCGUGCGUAGACGGUUACAUAAGUCGGGUGUGAAAGCCCGGGGCUUAACCCCGGGUCUGCAGUCGAUACGGGCAGGCUAGAGUUCGGUAGGGGAGAUCGGAAUUCCUGGUGUAGCGGUGAAAUGCGUAGAUAUCUGGAGGAACACCGGUGGCGAAGGCGGCAUCCUGGACCGACACUGACGCUGAGGAGCGAAAGCCAGGGGAGCAAACGGG